CACUGAGGAUGGUGGAUCCAGCUCCACCAGUAAACAUCCUUACUGGUGUAACGGAAGAUCAAACUGGAAGGAUUUAGAACUGUUGCCCUACACGUUAAAGAGAAGAAAAGGAACAAGUUCAAUUUGUUUAAAAGGCCAGUUCGUCUGACUGCUUGUGCUCAACUUUUGGAACAUGAAAUGUUAUUUAAGAAUUUCACCACAUAUAAAUAACACAAACCGACAGACAGUUUCAUUUAUAAAAUGGGACCGAUUUUGAUACGGGAAAACUGCAUCGUGCAGCAGCAGAGGGCGGCAAAGCUGCAGCAUUCAGGCUGCAUGUGUACCUGGGCGCAGAGCUGGAUGAGAGGACAACUUAACCAUAACGAGGUGUGGGGAGAGGGCACCUGAAUGUUUUCUCUGCUGCCCUGAUGAGCCAAUGGAGAGCUUUCGCGUCUGAGGACAUCUCUGCUGCACCUUCUUCAGCAGCUCCUUGGUGUUCACACUCCAGGGCCCGGAGCAUUCUGGGAGAUUCGGGAAUUAAUCACACCUGACAUGGGCGUGUCUUGAUGUUCUCUUUUCCGGUUUCCCAGGAAACCUAAAGCACUGCAGGUACCAAGGUAUGUGGAACGAGAAAGUGUGUAUCUUAUGCUAAGAUCUGGCCCAGAUCUGAGCUCCUUUGGGGCUCAUCACAGUGCCCUGGGCCCCUACAUGAUGGAGGCUCAUAACCAGUUCCCUAUUGCAGGCAUUUUAGGAAGCGAUUGCAUUACUUACGGAUGUUUCCAGCUAUUUACAAAAUGGAGACAAAGUUCCUGGAUCUGAACUGGAAUCACAAUGCAUGACAGCACCGCAGAAUCUGAGACCUUGUCUCCAUUGAGACUCUGUCUGUAACAGCAACAGCAGAGGAUUAUUGUCACGCAUUUCUAAUUUAAGGAGCUUCUUAUUGGCUUGAGCUCACAGACACACAGACCUAUGUAAUGUGUUCACGCACAUGCACA